AUUGAACGCUGGCGGCAUGCCUUACACAUGCAAGUCGAACGGCAGCACGGGAGCAAUCCUGGUGGCGAGUGGCGAACGGGUGAGUAAAGUAUCGGAACGUGCCCAGUCGUGGGGGAUAACGUAGCGAAAGUUACGCUAAUACCGCAUACGAUCUAUGGAUGAAAGCGGGGGAUCGCAAGACCUCGCGCGAUUGGAGCGGCCGAUAUCAGAUUAGGUAGUUGGUGGGGUAAAGGCUCACCAAGCCGACGAUCUGUAGCUGGUCUGAGAGGACGACCAGCCACACUGGGACUGAGACACGGCCCAGACUCCUACGGGAGGCAGCAGUGGGGAAUUUUGGACAAUGGGCGAAAGCCUGAUCCAGCCAUGCCGCGUGCAGGAUGAAGGCCUUCGGGUUGUAAACUGCUUUUGUACGGAACGAAAAGGUUUGGCCUAAUAAGCUGAGCUCAUGACGGUACCGUAAGAAUAAGCACCGGCUAACUACGUGCCAGCCGCCGCCGUAA
rnacentral:rRNA from 1 species